rnacentral:rRNA from 1 species
UACAGAGGGUGCAAGCGUUAAUCGGAAUUACUGGGCGUAAAGCGUGCGUAGACGGUUAUGUAAGUCAGGUGUGAAAGCCCAGGGCUCAACCUUGGAAUUGCAUUUGAGACUGCAUAGCUAGGGUGCGGAAGAGGGAAGCGGAAUUUCCGGUGUAGCGGUGAAAUGCGUAGAUAUCUGGAGGAACACCGGUGGCGAAGGCGGCAUCCUGGACCAACACUGACGCUGAGUGAGCGAAAGCCAGGGGAGCAAACGGG